rnacentral:lncRNA from 1 species
CUGGUACUGGGAAGAAUAGGCUGCCUAACUUUUAGAAGAUCUUUUGGGGAAGAUGAAUUUGAUGAAUGGACCACUUUAGGAGAUGUAAUUGAUGACUUAAUAGCAAAUAACAAUCCUGAUGCUCUAAAGUGGUGUCUCAAAGCUAGCAAAAAUUAUAGGAUACUUUCUGCUGGGGCAGAGUCCCAAUAUAGUUUUUAUAAUAAUGAGAAAAGUAGAGUUUUUGCUGCUCCUUUAGCUGCUAUCGGUUGGGUGCUGUGGAUUACUAUAAAUAACACGAUUGUUAGAUCUAAAUUGAUCUAUUCUUCUCUAAUCCUUCCCUUCAAAAUCAUUUCCCAUUUGCAACGUUGGAAAAUGCUAGGUGUUAAGGAUGCUGAUGCCAUUAACAAAAUGACCGAGGAGCUCACAAAGACAGCGGCAACCCUGGGUGCUCAGAGAGCUAGAAUUGAUUGA